CAGUCGCCGCGGUAAUACGGAGGGUGCAAGCGUUAAUCGGAAUUACUGGGCGUAAAGGGUGCGUAGGCGGUUGUUUAAGUCUGUCGUGAAAGCCCUGGGCUCAACCUGGGAAUUGCGAUGGAUACUGGGCGACUAGAGUGCGGUAGAGGAUAGUGGAAUUUCCGGUGUAGCAGUGAAAUGCGUAGAGAUCGGAAGGAACAUCUGUGGCGAAGGCGACUAUCUGGGCCAACACUGACACUGAGACACGAAAGCGUGGGGAGCAAACAGGAUUAGAUACCCCAGUAGUCCCUGUCUCUUAUAA
rnacentral:rRNA from 1 species